ensembl:lncRNA
GUGGGUGAGACUGGUCUAGAGGUUUGUGAAGGCUUACUGGUAGCAGGGGCUGGUACCUGUUGACUGGUAAACCAUUCAAUAUCACAGUAAUCCAAGUCUAUGCCCCGACCAGUAAUGCUGAAGAAGCUGAAGUUGAAUGGCUCUGUGAAGACCAACAAGACCUUCUAGAAUUAACACCCCCCAAAAUAUGUCCUUCUAAUUACAGGGGACUGGAAUGCAAAAGUAGGAAGUGUUGAGAUACCUGGAGUACAGAAUGGCCUUGGAGUACAGAAUGAAGCAAGGCAAAGGUUAAUAGAGUUCUGUGAAGAGAAUGCACUGGUCAUAGCAAACACCCUCUUCCAACAACACAAGAUAAAACUCUACACAUGAACAUCACCAGAUGAUCGGCACUGAAAUCAGAUUGAUUAUAUUGUUUGCAGCCAAAGAUGGAGAAGCUCUAUACAGUCAGCAAAACAAGACCGGGAGAUGACUGUGGCACAGAUCAUGAACUCCUUAUUGCCAAAUUCAGACUUAAAUUGAAGAAAGCCGGGAAAACUACUAGACCAUUCAGGUAUUUGGCAAGAAUACUUCAAGUAAUGAGAACUAUUUAUUCUGCUGAGAAAAAGCAACCUUUCAAGUAUGCCUAUUAAAUAUGGUUCAGUAGAUGCCCAUUCUAUGGCUCAUUUGAGGAUAUCACGCUAAUGAUUCCCUCUGGUCAUGAGUUCAUUGGCCACUUGCUUAAUAAACGCAUGGCCUUCAGUUCAUCCUUCUCUUAAACAUUUUUAUAGACUGCCAU